AAGUCGUAACAAGGUUUCCGUAGGUGAACCUGCGGAAGGAUCAUUAUUGAUUGAUAGACAGAGGUAGUUUUACUACCUUCUGUUCUUUCUUUAUUCUAGAGAUAUAUAUAUAUAUAUAUCUCUUUUUCUUUAAUAUCUGAAAAAUAAUUUGAUUGUCUGAUUUGAUUCUUAAUCUAAUCAAAACUUUCAACAAUGAAUCUCUUGGUUCUG
rnacentral:misc_RNA from 1 species